CCAGCAGGCCCUUUUUCCUUCUUUUCUUUUCCUCUGAUUGGGCUGUGAGUGACACAUUCAUGAAUAAACUGAAAGAGAGAUGUCAAAACGUGGUCAGAUGAUCGCAAUUAGAAUUUUCCUUAGUAAUUACGUGAUUAUUUCUGUCUGGAAACCCAACCCGAGUCAAACGCAUUCAGUUCCAUUGGAUGCUGGGAGCUUCUCUGAGUCCUGUCACCAAAUGUGCCAUGGUCAGGCGUGGUGUGGAGGGCAGGGAUGAGCAAGGCUAGUCCCGGUGCAGGGUAGCGCAGGGCUGCGAGAUAGGCAACAGCGUUCCUUACGUCAGCCCGCGUUUAUUAUGUCAGCACGUAUUCAUUGAGCUCCUCCUCUAUGCUAGGCACACACUGAACGUGCAGUACGUAAUAGUGACGGUGUGGACGUGAGCCCUGUCCUCAAGAUGCUUAGAGUAUGAUGUGGGUGUCAAAAAUAGUGGGAGAGAUAAGGGACAUUCGAUAAGAUAUCCAGCCAGUACAAGGACUGAGAGACUGUCAGAGACCAAAGGAGAUUAAGGAGACGUGAUGACUAAAUGCAAUAUGGUACCCUGGAUUGGAUCCUGGAACAGAAGGAGGACAUUCAUGGAAAAACUGGUGAAAUUCACGUCUGGAAUUUAGUUAACAGUAACGGACCAAUGUUGGAAGCAACAAAACGUGACCCUGGUACCUGUCCGUUGUGAGACCCGGAUGUUCAGCUUUCCUUCUAUUAGAUGAGAUCCCGUAGGUUCACGUGAGACGAGACAUCACAGAUUCGGAGUGCCAGGAAGAGAAUGGAAUGUGUCACCUGUUUGUCCCGCAACGAGAGAGGGCAAAGCACCUUCCAUAAUUAUCCUAUAGAGACUGAAGAACAUCAAGCAAAAUAGAAGAGAAAGAGAAACAGAUUAUUUAGAAGACAAAUUGUGAAUUAACCAAGUAGAGUUUGGACCAUGAGGGGAUCAUUUUCUGAUGAGUGAGAACCAUGGAGAGCAGCCCGGGAUUGUUGACUGGAAUCAGAAAGACCCAGGUUUAAGUCUCAGCAACUCUACUGUGUGACCCUGUGCAAAUUACUUAACCUCUCUGAACCUCAGAGGCUUGAUCUGUAGAAAAGACAUAUGAACACUUCUUUGAAAGUUUGUGCUGAGGAUUAGGAAUAAUGUAUAUAAAGUAUUAGCAUAGAUUCUCUUGUAGGUGGUCACACAACUUGUCAAAAAAGGUAGAAAUUUUUGUUUCCUCUCCUGGGCAAUGAGUCUGAAAGCUCAGCCAACGCUAUCAACUCUCUCUCUUGACAAUUUAAAUUGAAUUGAAUGGAUGAAGAUCGUUCAUGUUAGUGGUGUUACCCCAAAGAAGCUGUUUAUUACCUCCUGCUAUCUAGACCCAUAAAAAGCCCUUGUUCCUGUCCUUGCUGAAGUCUGACUGUCCAGUUCUUCCUGCAGUCCUACAGCUAGCCCACAUGCUUCUAGUAAUUCCCUCUCUGCUGAUUACCCAGAGAAGUUUCAGUAACUUGCUUCUAAAAGACCUUAACUGAUUCAGUUCAUAUUAUUAAUAUUAGUAGUAGCAUUUGCAUCCCUAAUAUGAACUAUUAUAAUUAUUACACUUACGAUUGGUGUUCACGUCUUUCUUAGAAGUAAAAAUCUUAACUGGGCCCUAGGCUUGAGGAUGAUGGAAAUAGGAUGGGACUUUACACAUAUUAGCAGACAGCACACUUCCUCCCUAGAUUCUUCAGAGUUGAAGACACACCAUGUGCUUUGUCUCAAAUGCACAGGAGACCUUACCAAGAUCCUGGCCUAGAGGAGAAAGACCAAAGCUUAGCCUGUUUCGCUGCCUGCCACAAUGGAUGCUGAAGAAAAUACUGAAUUUGUGUGCCCAUCUCAGAAGCACAGAGCUCAGAGGGGUAUAAGUGUAAAUUCAAACCCCAGAGACACAAGGGUGCUAAGACCAGACGGGCCCUUGGAGAUCAAUCAAAUAUCCUGUGUUUCUUGAAUGGGCAUAGACACAUAUGUCCAUCCCAUGCCAAAAUUUGAUUAUAUUGCGUCCUACUGCUGUGCGAAUUUUCCUUGGAGGUUGUUAUGUUAGAUUAGAAUAAACACAAACAUACAUGGAUUUUUGUGGUCUCUUGUUUAUCCUUAAGAAGUUUCGCUCCUAAGUUCAGCUGGCUUGAGUUCCAUCUCCAGCUGUUCAAAGUUGACUCCAACACAUUUUAUAGAUGGGAAAACCGAGGCCCAGUGGGAGGAGACCCUUGACCAAGGUCACACAGUGAGCAAAUCUCAGGGCCAAUCCUGCAACCAGGCCGCCUCCUUUUCCAGCCCAAUUAAGAAGGAAAGAAAGAGCUAAGGGAGGACAAAAAUGUGGUGGUGGCUUUGGUUUCCUUUUAUUUUAAAUCAAGAGUAAUUUUUUUUUUCCAGAUCUAUCCUUGGGUUUUUGGUCUGCAGCUCUGAGAAGGUAGAUUCAUCCUGUGAGCUGUGUUUUUCUCCACAGCGUGGCUGUCUCUGUUCCAGUCCCUGCUAAGUGCUGAGGAAGGGCAGCAUAGGGCAGGUCUGGCUGAAUGCAAACAAAAACUGCCAUUUCUCAAGGCCUGUGGGUUUGCUGGGCAGAGUGGAAGCUUUUGUCACUUUUACUACAAAAAUCUUGAAACAGCCAUUGGUAGUAGAAAUCUGAAUCAUCCAAAAUAAUUCUAAAUACGAUCUGUGGCUCCUGGGAGGCCCAGGGUCAGAGCUCCUUGACUUUCACACAGCUUCCUCCCACCUGAAUCACCAUCCAAUUUAAAUGCUAGCCAUUCUUUUUCUUUUCAUUAUUAAAUAUUGAAGAUAACCCUUGGAGUCAUGUUGGUGUAUUUCCUCUAGGCUUUAUUAUGUGCCUCUUAAAUAAUUUUGAUUACAUGGGUAUACAAACCUUUCUCCUAAAUUUUCCAUGUAGUAUUUCCUAACAACCUCAUUAUGUUAUUAUGAACUCUUUACUUAGGAGAGUUACACAAUUUUCACCCAUUAACAGUCACUUUAUCAUCCCCUGGCUGUGGAUAAUUUAAAUCAUUUUUCCUUUUUUUUGCUAAUGAGUAACAAUGAAUAAAUAUGAGCAUCUUCUUUUAUUCUAACCUUUCAGAUAGGUUUCUGAAAACGGAAUAGCUGACAUAUCAGACUCCCUGUAAUGUCUGAAUGUGGUCAUUUUAUUUUAUUCUUGCCAGCCUUGGGGAAUUUCACUGAAGAAACAAAAACUCCUUGCCAAUUGAUAUGUAAAACAUAACAUUUUACUUACCUUCUGUUUGCCCCUGAAGUUGAACUUUCAUCCACGUUCUCCAACCAGUUAUCUUUCUUCUGUGGUGAAAUACCUUCAUAUUCCUUGUGUCCUUCCAUUUUCCAAGGCCCUUCUUAAAUCCCAAUCCUCCCAUUAGGGGCUUUCAUUGUCCCUUCAGCACAAAGUCACCCUCCCUUUCUACAGUCCUGAACUCUGAGAAGAUCACAAUCUAAUCGCAAUAAUUACACAUAGCUGUAAUAAAAGCACUUGGGUAUAAGUUUCUCUCUCCAGCUAGAGAGUGAGCACUAAGCUUUGCUCCUCAGAUAGAGCACAUAUUCAAUCGACGUCCAAGGGAGAGAGGAAGAGGGACGACGGGAGGUAGGGUGGGGAGGCCUAGCUUCUUAUGCCAUCUCCCCAUCAUGGGGUUGGGGGAUCACAGCAGAAGAGAGACAAAAGGACACCCCAGCCUGCAAUCUGAGUAAGCACCUCCCCUCCACAAUUCUGCCUCAAUGAUUUCAGUUCCAAAUUUUCACUCAAACUCACAGGCCAUCAUGGCAUCAACACUGCCUCUCUACGAACUAUAGAUAGGACGUAGCCAGCCUCUGUAUAAUACAUUGAAGGCUUUGCAGAGACAGGGCUAAGUAAUUGAUAAAAAUUUAGAAUGUACUCU